UGAAUACGAGACGCUACGGCGUCGAAGCAGUCUAUGUCAUACUUCCAAGAAAAGCUUGCACUGUCAUAAACAAAUAAUGCCUGUACCAUAACCGACACAGGUGGGUAGGUAGAGUAUACUAAGGGGCGCGAGAUAACUCUCUCUAAGGAACUCGGCAAAAUGACUCCGUAACUUCGGGAGAAGGAGUGCCUUAUUUAUAAGGUUGCAAUAACAAGAUCCAAGCAACUGUUUAUCAAAAACACAGGUCUCCGCUAAGUCGUAAGACGAUGUAUGGGGGCUGACGCCUGCCCAGUGCCAGAAGGUUAAAGAAGUUGGUUAGCAUUAGCGAAGCUGAUAACUGAAGCCCUGGUGAACGGCGGCCGUAACGAUAACGGUCCUAAGGUAGCGAAAUUCCUUGUCGGGUAAGUUCCGACCCGCACGAAAGGCGUAAUGAUUUGGAUACUGUCUCAGAGAGGGGCUCGGUGAAAUAGACUUGUCUGUGAAGAUGCGGACUACCUGCACCAGGACAGAAAGACCCUAUGAAGCUUUACUGUAACUUGAAAUUGAAAUUGGACUUUAUUUGCGCAGUAUAGGUGGGAGGCAUUGAUAAUAUUCUUGCGGGAAUGUUGGAGCCAUCAGUGAGAUACCACUCUUGUAAUGUUAGAUUUCUAACUUUGGAUCAUUAUCUGGUCAAAGGACAGUUUCAGGCGGGCAGUUUGACUGGGGCGGUCGCCUCCUAAAUGGUAACGGAGGCGCACAAAGGUUUCCUCUGAACGGGUAGAAAUCGUAUCUAGAGUGUAAAGGCAUAAGGAAGCUUGACUGUGAGACCUACAAGUCGAGCAGGGACGAAAGUCGGUCUUAGUGAUCUGACGGUGCUGAGUGGAAAGGCCGUCACUCAACGGAUAAAAGUUACUCUAGGAUAACAGGCUGAUCUCCCCCAAGAGUUCACAUCGACGGGGAGGUUUGGCACCUCGAUGUCGGCUCAUCGCAUCCUGGGGCGGUAGUACGUCCCAAGGGUUGGGCUGUUCGCCCAUGAAAGCGGUACGCGAGCUGGGUUCAGAACGUCGUGAGACAGUUCGGUCCAUAUCCGGUGUAGGCGUUAGAAUAUUGAGAGGAGCCUUCUUUAGUACGAGAGGACCGAGAAGGACAUACCUCUGGUGUACCAGUUAUCGUGCCAACGGUAAACGCUGGGUAGCUAUGUAUGGAGAGGAUAACCGCUGAAAGCAUCUAAGUGGGAAGCCCACCUCAAGAUAAGUAUUCUCAUCA
rnacentral:rRNA from 1 species